CCCAAAGUGCUGGGAUUAUAGGCACGAGCCACCGCACCCGGCCUAGGACUGUUCUUUAAAAGCAAUGAAUAAAGCUUUCUAAAACAUUCUCCACAUCAUUUUUUUUUUCCUUUCAGUGUGGAUGAGUAAAAACUUUUUCACAGAUUAGCACCUAUGUCAACAGAAAUGAAAACAAGACAAAGGAAAGACAUUAAAAAAGCGACCCGGGGACUCUGACUAAGGGAGUGAAAGAAAGUAAGUCUUCCAAGACGACUGGCAGGUGCUCCCAUAAGCAUCAGGCUAACUCUUCCUUAGCUUGGCGAAGGGAAACCAGUGCACCAACGAAUGGCCGCCUAGCCUCUGAAUCGCCCUGACUCCAGGUCUUCAAAAGCCCUUUCCAACUACUAGAUAUGCCUCUGGGCAGAUUCUCUGCUUAUUUGCAACUGUGUGGCUCAACUGAAUGUUGCUUGGCCUUAGUGGUGAACUAACCCUGCCCAGCUUGUAGAUUUGAGAGGCAGUUUUCUUUUAUUAGCUUUUUGAAUGUACAAUGCAAUAGGCUCCAGGGAAUUUGAAUAGUACAUCAACUUCAUGCCCUCCAUUGCAUUCCUCUGGCCUUAGCCUCAUGGUUUCAAAUUCCUAACACACAGCACAUGCCAUCCUGCUCCUGCCUGGCCCCCCUUUACAAAGGACUCUCGCUGGAAAGGACAGAUGUCCUCAGGCUCUCCGUGACCUACCGCGCUUUCACUGAUGGGAUGCCCUUAUCUGAGGUUUAUCUACUUGUUCGUCUUUAAUUUGGAUUGCAUGUUUGCCUAGACUUGCUGUUUUAGUUUUUGUGGUAUAUUUUUAAGUUUCCUAAGUAAUGGGAUUAUCGACAAACGCCUCAGAGAAUAGCAGCCUCAGUCAUUCUCAGCUGAGAAUGCUACAUUCAACCUGACAUGACAUUUUCCUUCUCUCUGCCCCUUGCAGAUGUGAAGCUCCUAACGUUUUCCUUUUGCUUGGUAAUGUCUCUCAGAUAUUUAUCUUUCUAUUCCCAGAGCUGCCCUAGACUUUUAAAAUGGGUCUAUCUGCCUCUUCCCAUAUGCACUGAUACCAAAUCAAUCUUUUGAAACACCAUGAUUAUAAUACCUUUCUACUUAAACAUCUUCAGUAGAUGCUCAACAGAGAGUAAAAUCAACUGAUUUGGACUGUUACCAACCCAAUAUCAACAGCCUAUUGAUACUGCAAAUUUCUUCACGUGGAAACCAUUUGCAGUUCUCGAAAACUUUCUUUACAACUUGACAACGGGAAUAUUUAUCGUCUUCCCCAUAAAAUGGCUUCUUCAAAGGUUAUGUUUUUAAAAUUAUCUUCUGCUUUUGAGAAAAAUAUGUGUCAAUGAGAGCACAGCUUUAGAGCAGCGCCUACGCCGGGGCAGAGAAGUCAUUCUAACUCUGGGGGCGGGCUAGUCUGCGGAGUGAUGUGCUCUUUGUCCCUUCUGUGGAGUGUUGGUCCGGAAUUCAGCCUGACCCUGAGGUGGCCUGACUCAAAGACGAGACCAGCCUAUGUCGUUACAUAUAUACUGGCGGCAAUGCCCUCCCCACACCUCUGUCAUUUUCACCUAGGGAAGCCGGAAUGAGAGGCAGUGAAAUGUGACUGCUUUCUCUGGUCAAAACCAAGCCUGUUCUGGGCAGGCAAGACAGCAGCAGAUAUUGGUUUGGGCUCAUUCAGAAAGCCUCCAGAUGGGAUAAAUGUUCAAGUUUCCUUAUGAGUGGGCCUUCCCCGGGAUCUUCCUCAGGGCCAUCCCAGAACUAGCCUGCUUUCAGAGCUGCUUAGUGGGUUCCAUGGGUUUGCUUUCAGACUUGGAUCCCAGUAAGAACUCACAUGAAGGACUUAAUUAACCCAUCUUUCUCCCACUCUCACUAUAAUGUAUAUGUGUGUGAUGUGUAUAUGUAGUAUGUGUAGUGUACGUGUGUGUAUAAUACACACACACACCCCCACAAACGCACACACACACACUUUACACAGAGGGAGAAUCUAAUAGAGUUGCUUAGGUUCAAAUUUCCUUCCAUAGUUUAACAGCCAACAACAACAAAAACAAACAAUCCCUCCAUCUUGUCACCAGUAACCACAGUGCUUUUCCCACAACGCUAAUUUGUAACAGCCUCUUAUCUGUUGUUGAGGUAAAGUGGAACACAAUGACUAACCCUGUCAUGACUAAGCAUGUAGGCAUAAAUCACUCCUGGAUCCUCCUUCCUGAGGAGGGACAUGUGCACAAACAGCGAACGUGGAACGGCGGGCUGAUGCGGAAUCUUAAUGGCAAUAAUGUGAUUUGCGACAGCAACAUCAAAAGAUUUUACAUGUGAGGACAAGAAAAUCCAGAGAGGUGCUCUGACUCUCCCAGUCAUGCAGUUAGGAGUAAGCAACACAAUCGGGACGGGAACCCAGGUUUCUAGUUUCAUCUUAUGAGUGUCAACGACUUGGAAAACGGAGAAAUCCUCAAAUCGCCAACUGCCAGUACCUUUGGGACUCAUGAGUGUGGCUUCCACGGCCUUCCCUCCAUCCCCACAUCUCGCCUCGUCAAACGGAAGGCACUGCUCCCCGGUUCCUGCGACGACUUCUGCAUUUUUAG